UACGGGGGGGGCAAGCGUUGUUCGGAAUUACUGGGCGUAAAGGGCGCGUAGGCGGCCCGCUAAGUCGAACGUGAAAUCCCCAGGCUCAACCUGGGAACUGCGUCCGAUACUGGCAGGCUUGAAUCCGGGAGAGGGAUGUGGAAUUCCAGGUGUAGCGGUGAAAUGCGUAGAUAUCUGGAGGAACACCGGUGGCGAAGGCGGGUCUCUGGGCCGAUACUGACGCUGAGGAGCGAAAGCGUGGGGAGCGAACAGG
rnacentral:rRNA from 1 species